GGGCCCGCACAAGCGGUGGAGCAUGUGGUUUAAUUCGAUGAUACGCGAGGAACCUUACCAGGGCUUAAAUGUAGUGGGACAGGUCUAGAGAUAGACCCUUCUUCGGACUCAUUACAAGGUGCUGCAUGGUUGUCGUCAGCUCGUGUCGUGAGAUGUUGGGUUAAGUCCCGCAACGAGCGCAACCCUUGUUUUUAGUUACUUUUCUAGAAAGACUGCCGGUUAUAAGCCGGAGGAAGGCGGGGACGACGUCAAGUCAGCAUGCCCCUUACACCCUGGGCUACACACGUGCUACAUUGGAUAAGACAAUGAGUCGCGAACCUGCGAAGGUUAGCAAAUCUAUAAACUUAUUCUAAGUUCGGAUUGUAGGCUGAAACUCGCCUACAUGAAGCUGGAAUCGCUAGUAAUCG
rnacentral:rRNA from 1 species